rnacentral:rRNA from 1 species
GACGUAGGGCGCGAGCGUUGUCCGGAUUUAUUGGGCGUAAAGAGCUCGUAGGCGGCUUGUCGCGUCGUUCGUGAAAACCUGGGGCUCAACUCCAGGCUUGCGGGCGAUACGGGCAGGCUAGAGUUCGGUAGGGGAGACUGGAAUUCCUGGUGUAGCGGUGAAAUGCGCAGAUAUCAGGAAGAACACCCGUGGCGAAGGCGGCUCUCUGGGACGGUACUGACGCUGAGACGCGAAAGCGUGGGGAGCGAACAGG